CCCUUAGAUGUUCUGGGCCGCACGCGCGCUACACUGUUCGACGCAGCGAGUCUUAACCUUGACCGAAAGGUUUGGGUAAUCUUCAGCAAAGUCGAACGUGAUGGGGAUCGAUCAUUGCAAUUAUUGAUCGUGAACGAGGAAUUCCUAGUAAGUGCAAGUCAUCAGCUUGCGCUGAUUACGUCCCUGCCCUUUGUACACACCGCCCGUCGCUACUACCGAUUGAAUGGUUUAGUGAGAUCUCUGGAUUGACGCUGGCUAGGGGGCGACCCUUGGCCAGACUGCUCGAGAAACUGCUCAAACUUGAUCAUUUAGAGGAAGUAAAAGUCGCAACA
rnacentral:rRNA from 1 species